AGCCGAACUAGCUAACGUUAGCAGCCAACUGCACGUGAUGACAUUGGAGGCAAGCUUCAGUUGCCUGGCGUGAAAAAAAAAUGUAUUGGUCUAGCGCGAGAGAUGGUUGAGAUGGAAAUCAUCGAAGAUAAUGAGGAGGCCGCAACAAAAAGCAAAGAUACCCAAGCUCUCCCACAAGUGGAGCAUUUGACAAGGAUCCCAAUCUUGACAUCCAGUUCAGAUUCAUCUGGGAAGUUACCUGAGUGUGAGUUGCCAAGUAUUCUUUGUGAGUACUGCCGGCAGGCAAAGAAACCCCCAGUGACUCUUGAGCAAAUGGGGAAAACGACUGACCCAGAGGAGUUGUUUUGUUGUGAGGUUGCCUGGAGGAUGGCAGAUCUUUUUCCCGAAGAGGAGGAGGAUGAAAAGGCCUCUAAGUCUGUACAAAAGGCCACAAAAAUCAAUGAUGUCAACCCUCACCCACUUUCUAAAGCUGAAACCAAAGAAAGAACAGAGCAAAGGCUGAGAGAUUUGCAGCCUAUCAGAUCCCAAGGCUCAAACUACCCCUCGGGGCUUUAUUCCAGACAACGAGGUAAAAGUGUUGUCUGCUAUCGACUUUCAAAUGACUUAUGGAACAUCCAAGAGGAGUCUCAACUUCCUGAAAUGGAAAUCAUUACCCCUCCCGAGACAGUGACCCUUCCAGAUAAGGAACCAGGGGUCAAGGUGUGUAGCCAUCUCCCUUUUCAUGCAAAUCUGAUGUGGAUCCGCAGUUUACCGGCAUAGU
rnacentral:lncRNA from 1 species